rnacentral:rRNA from 1 species
GUCUAUGGCCAUACUACCCUGAACAAGCCCAAUGUCUGAUUUCGGAAGCUAAGCAGGGUCAGGCCUGGUUAGUACUUGGAUGGGAGACCACUUAGGAAGACCAGGCGCUGUAGGCA